rnacentral:rRNA from 1 species
CUACGGGUCGCUGCAGUGGGGGAUAUUGCACAAUGGGGGAAACCCUGAUGCAGCAACGCCGCGUGAAGGAAGACGGAUUUCGGUCUGUAAACUUCUAUCAGCAGGGAUGAAAAUGACAGUACCUGACUAAGAAGCCCCGGCUAACUACGUGCCAGCAGCCGCGGUAAUACGUAGGGGGCAAGCGUUAUCCGGAUUUACUGGGUGUAAAGGGUACGUAGGCGGUUUGUUAAGUCAGAUGUGAAAGCCCGGAGCUCAACUCCGGGACUGCAUUUGAAACUGGCGAACUAGAGUACAGGAGAGGAAAGCGGAAUUCCUGGUGUAGCGGUGAAAUGCGUAGAUAUUAGGAAGAACACCAGUGGCGAAGGCGGCUUUCUGGACUGUAACUGACGCUGAGGUACGAAAGCGUGGGGAGCGAACAGGAUUAGAUACCCGGGUAGUC